rnacentral:rRNA from 1 species
AACAAAAACAUGUCCUUUUGGUAUUUAUAUAAGGUCUGACCUGCCCACUGAUUAAUUGAAUGGCCGCAGUAUUUUGACUGUGCAAAGGUAGCAUAAUCAUUAGUUUUUUAAUUAAAAGCUUGUAUGAAGGGUUGGACGAGGUAAAAUCUGUCUCUAUUUAAUUUAUUUUAGAAUUUAAUUUUUAAGUUAAAAAGCUUAAAUUAUUAUAAAAGACGAGAAGACCCUAUAGAUCUUUAUAUUAUUAUAAAUAAUUUUAGUUAAGAUUAUUUUAUUUUUUAUUUAUAUUAAUAUUUUAUUGGGGUAAUAAAAAGAUUAAAAAAAUUCUUUUUAAAAUUUAAUACUAAUUAGUAAUUAUGUGAUCCAAUAUUUUUGAUUAUAAGAUUAAGUUACCUUAGGGAUAACAGCGUAAUUUUUUUUGAGAGUUCAUAUCGAUAAAAAAGUUUGCGACCUCGAUGUUG